UCAGAGAAAGACAGAAGAAAUGUCAGGCCCUCAGUGCUUCUCAAUUUGGAUAGUACAAUCAAUCACGAUUCCACCUAUUUACUAGAACUUCCGACUCACAGUCUCUUGACAGAUAUCACAUGCUAGAGAAAAUGUCCUGAACAAUUGCGUGGUGCGUGUGUCUAAAACUCUAAACUAGUUUUGUCUUUGGAACUGCUAUAGGAAAAAGGAUAUGAGGAUGCCAAAUCAGUGCUUGCUGCUCUAAAGAGUCAAGGUGUUUCUGCAAUAGGAGCUGCAGGAUUUUGCUGGGGAGGUAAACCCUUCAUUACUAACAUGAAGUGGGGCUUGCUCACAUUUUUUUUUUCAGGGAAUGUAGUGGCCAAACUUGCAAAAUCUGAUGACAUUAAGGCCCUGUGAUAUUGCGUCCUGGCCGGUUAGCAGAUGAAGAUAUACAUGCACGAAGCUCUAACCAAAGCUCUAGCCAAGAAAACCCCCCCCCCCUGCUGCAGCCUGUUUGCACGCCCUGAAACCUUUUGAUCAGGACCUCAGAUCAAAAACUUUCCUUCAUCAAAGUUGUUCGUCUCUGCCUCUUCUAUUUGCCCUCCAAAUUUCAGCCCUAUUGGAGUCGUUUUGAGACCUGUACACCAUUUAAAGUGGGAGCUGUUCAGAAGAGAAUCUGCUCCAUGUUCACGACUAGCUCUAAGAUUUGGAUCGAAUAGCUUUGAGAUUCGGGUUCCUACCAAAAGGCGAAUAGCUCUUGGAUUGGCUGAGAAGACAACCUUCUCAGUUCUGCACACAUAAGCUGAAGAUUCAUCCGUUCUUCAUCAAAGGUUGAGUCAGAAGCUCAAAUCAAGCCCAAAGUCAUAGCAACAAAUUCGA